GCCUCCGUAGCUCAGGGGAUAGAGCACCGCUCUCCUAAAGCGGGUGUCGCAGGUUCGAUUCCUGCCGGGGGCA
rnacentral:tRNA from 2 species